GCAGAAGGGUGGAGUUAAAUUGAGGGGCGCCGGGGAGCCCGCUGGAGGGGAGCGUCUGGUGAGGCGGAGCUGCUGUGCCAUGCCCGGCCACAAGGAGACGCUGUAAUGCCCAGAGCGUGUCAGAAAUGAUUUGGUUGCGAUUGCAGUGUUCGCAAACUGCGUUCCUCGGUGUAUCAAUUUGGGUUACUGAAAACGGGGUCAAAACCCAUCAACAUUGUUACCCAACUGAAGCUGCGCCCACGGACGGAGACUAGGUUGUGGUGCACAGUGAAGAAACCCCCAGGCAGAGGAAGAAGAAAAGAUAAAAUGUUAUAAACGACAGACUGGUCAACCACAUCUCAACCUACCCCACAGGGACCAUUGAGCCUGUUACAGAGACCCAGAGCUGGGCCGGUUCUACCUGUUCCUCAACUGGUUUGUUAUGAAGCGUGGUGAGUUCGUGCGGAUACCUGUGCUUUCGAGUCUCCCUCGCUGACGUCCGGUGGAGCUUGGUUAUGGUGUCCAAGCAAACGUAUCAUGACUGUGGAUGUCUUUGGUAAUUACUCAAAAAGCAUCUUCUCAGCAUGGCGUGCAACCCGCACGGGCUGGGCAAAACCCUGCAGUAGCUCCUGGGAGUUCCGGACACCUCGGGGAUGGAGGUUGUUUGUUACUCUGAACAAAACGUUCGGGUCUUUCCAAAGUUUACAGCUGAACGUUGACUUAACACAGCUUUGAAAGUCCCCUGUGGAAAACGCUGCUUUCCCUUGACGUGUUUAGUAGUUUACGUUUAACAGAGCGCCGUGCUGUACAGUACUGUGGUUUGAUCUCUGCGGCUGCGUGAUUGUAUAUGGCCGGCUGCGUGAUUGUAUAUGGCCGGUUCCCAAUGAGGGGUGUGGCGGUUCGUAACUCUGAAGUUCGUAACUCGGAGGUUCUACUGCAUUGUGGGAUCCUUCAAAUAGGAAACCCCAAGACUAGGUGGAACGAGUGGUUACAUGUCCAGAUUAUUCGAAUCUGGAAUAUCUACUUGGGACAGAGCUCAUUUGAAAAAUAUAUUUAUCCUCCGACCCCCUGUAUUAACUAUUCUGAGCAUCGGGCUGUGGAAUCAGCACCAUGGGGGUAGGAGGAUCGUCUAGUCUCACCCCCAGAACGCAAGACCAAACCCGAAUCACUUAUAACCCAGUAGAGACAGCCUCUAACCCCGUAACUCAAGGCAGUACGUGGUGUGUAAUAUGCAUGACAUUGCCAAGCUGCUUAACUGCAUGCAAGCAAAAUCAAAUGAAUAAUUAAUGAAUAAUGACUAAUACUUAAUUGCAACAGAUAAUAAAAAGGUAAUGAAAUGA